AUGCAGGCAUAUAAGAUAUCAUGAAAAUAAUCUAAAGCCUUCUGAGUAGGCAUUUGUUAGCAACAGGCUAAAGUCAGUUUCAUCGCUCUGGUGUUAAUGUCACCCCGGCCGAUCAGGAUUGCCCAUGCUGCCUCUGCAGGGAGCCGUCUUCUUGGUAGUCCUGAGACCCCAUAUUCUGGGGGGAGUCCCACUAUCAUCUCCACCUGCUCUGACCACUCCGCGUAUGUGGGAGUCUAUGCCUGGGUGGUGUUGCAGGCUGGGUGUGUGGUGAGUGAUCAGUCCGUUCAGGCGGCAAU